rnacentral:rRNA from 1 species
GNGGCAGCNGUGGGGAAUUUUGGACAAUGGGCGAAAGCCUGAUCCAGCAANGCCGCGUGUGUGAAGAAGGCCUUCGGGUUGUAAAGCACUUUUGUCCGGAAAGAAAUGGCUCUGGUUAAUACCUGGGGUCGAUGACGGUACCGGAAGAAUAAGGACCGGCUAACUACGUGCCAGCAGCCGCGGUAAUACGUAGGGUCCAAGCGUUAAUCGGAAUUACUGGGCGUAAAGCGUGCGCAGGCGGUUGUGCAAGACCGAUGUGAAAUCCCCGAGCUUAACUUGGGAAUUGCAUUGGUGACUGCACGGCUAGAGUGUGUCAGAGGGGGGUAGAAUUCCACGUGUAGCAGUGAAAUGCGUAGAGAUGUGGAGGAAUACCGAUGGCGAAGGCAGCCCCCUGGGAUAACACUGACGCUCAUGCACGAAAGCGUGGGGAGCAAACAGGAUUAGAUACCCUGGUAGUCCACGCCCUAAACGAUGUCAACUAGUUGUUGGGGAUUCAUUUCCUUAGUAACGUAGCUAACGCGUGAAGUUGACCGCCUGGGGAGUACGGUCGCAAGAUUAAAACUCAAAGGAAUUGACGGGGACCCGCACAAGCGGUGGAUGAUGUGGAUUAAUUCGAUGCAACGCGAAAAACCUUACCUACCCUUGACAUGCCACUAACGAAGCAGAGAUGCAUUAGGUGCUCGAAAGAGAAAGUGGACACAGGUG